rnacentral:ncRNA from 2 species
CCAACGAUUCAAGCGCCAGAACUUGCGGGCCCGUGCUGCUGCCGGCCGUCAUCGUCAUCCGCGGGAAGCGGGGAUUUCGGCAUGGCGGUGCGGCGGCGAGGCGGGCGGCAAGUUGACGAGGCGGGGGUGUUCGAAGUUUUCGGCGGGGACCCUCCGGCUGCAUCCGUUCCAGCCGUCAAGCCGGGAAGGAAAACGACCGGGCGACCGGUCCGACAAAGGUCUCGGCAGAGCGGACC